CCGACAUUGACGACAAAGGGGCUGUGCCAGAUUCUCUACCUGAAGCAGUAGUUGAGGUGAAACAGGAGGACAAUGGGGCAGUGCCAGAUUCUCUACCUGAAGCAAUUGAGGUGAAACAGGAGAUCAAUGGGGCAGUGCCAGAUUCUCUACCUGAAGCAGUUGAGGUGAAACAGGAGGACGAUGGGGCAGUGCCAGAUUCUCUACCUGAUGCCAACAAUGAUGGCAAAGGUUUUUCAAUUCAUAAACUAAUUAUGAUUUUUUCCUGGCACACACUUGUUUUCCUUAAUAAAUUUGGUAUUUUGAUACUGCAUUUGUUUACUGUCCUCUAGGUUUGGCCUACUUGUUGAUUACUGUUGAGUUUAUGUUAUUAUCGCGUGUCUACAUAUAGGAUCAUAUAUUGUGUGGUUGAGAUG
rnacentral:lncRNA from 1 species